rnacentral:rRNA from 1 species
CGAACGCUGGCGGCGUGCUUAACACAUGCAAGUCGAACGGAAAGGCCCCUUUGGGGGUACUCGAGUGGCGAACGGGUGAGUAACACGUGAGUAACCUGCCCUUGACUUCGGGAUAACUUCAGGAAACUGGGGCUAAUACCGGAUAGGAAUCCUUGCUGCAUGGUGGGGGUUGGAAAGCUUCGGCGGUUUUGGAUGGACUCGCGGCUUAUCAGCUUGUUGGUGGGGUAGUGGCUUACCAAGGCUUUGACGGGUAGCCGGCCUGAGAGGGCGACCGGCCACAUUGGGACUGAGAUACGGCCCAGACUCCUACGGGAGGCAGCAGUGGGGAAUAUUGCACAACGGGCGGAAGCCUGAUGCAGCAACGCCGCGUGCGGGAUGACGGCCUUCGGGUUGUAAACCGCUUUCAGCAGGGGCGAAGCUUGUGGUGACGGUACCUGCAGAAGAAGCACCGGCUAACUACGUG